rnacentral:rRNA from 1 species
ACAAGUACCGUGAGGGAAAGUUGCAAAGCACUUUGAAGAGAGAGUUAAAGAGGACGUGAAACCGAUGAGGUGGAAACGGAUAGAGCCAGCGUAUCUGGCCUGUAUUCAAUUGCCGGUGGACGGCGCUCGUACAGCUGGCGACUCCAGAUUGGGACGGUUGUGCUGGGCCUUGCCGGACAUUGGCGAUGCAUUUGCAGGCCAUGUGCGCCGAGAGGCUCGGGGCAGCAGUGUGAACUCGGUCUUGAGGCCAGCUUGCUGGUACCCGGACUUGGGGGAAUUCUGUUUGCUCUGGGUGCCAUGAAGAGGAGUAUGGCUAACGGGCCCGGCUGGGUGCCGAGCUGAGAGUCGGCGGCGGUCGCAUGCGACACGUGCUGUGCUAGCAGUUCGGUCCUGGUCGAGCUCACAUGCUCCGUCUCGGUGUAAGAGCUGGUCAUCUCUCCGACCCGUCUUGAAACACGGACCAAGGAGUUUAUCGUGUGCGCGAGUCAUUGGGCGUUCAAAACCCAAAGGCGCAAUGAAAGUGAAUGUGUUCCGCAAGGAGCUGAUGUGCGAUCCUGCGCUCCACGGAGUGCGGGCGCAGCAUGGCCCCAUCCUGACUGCUUGCAGUGGGGUGGAGGAAGAGCGUGCGCGAUGAGACCCGAAAGAUGGUGAACUAUUCCUGAGCAGGAUGAAGCCAGAGGAAACUCUGGUGGAAGUCCGAAGCGAUUCUGACGUGCAAAUCGAUCGUCUGACUUGGGUAUAGGGGCGAAAGACUAAUCGAACCAUCUAGUAGCUGGUUCCUUCCGA